AUAAUACUCCAUAGAUUAGAGACACUGGAAUGUUCUUUAGUCGAAAGUUCUGGCGCCUUAGGAUGGAUCUGCGGUCGAUUAGGUUGUUGUUGGGGUAACGGCCCAACAAGCCUGUAAUCGAUACGGGUUGUGGGAGCAAGAGCCCGGAGAUGGAAUCUGAGACACGAUUCCAGGCCCUACGGGGCGCAGCAGGCGCGAAAACUUUACAAUGCAGGAAACUGUGAUAAGGGAACUCCGAGUACCCGUAUACGCGGGCUGUCCAGGUGUUUAAAAAUCAUCUGAAGAAAGGGCCGGGCAAGACCGGUGCCAGCCGCCGCGGUAAUACCGGCGGCUCGAGUGGUGGCCGCUAUUACUGGGCUUAAAGGGUCCGUAGCUUGAUAAUAGGGUCCCUUGAGAAAUCCGCCGGCUUAACUGGCGGGCGUUCAGGGGAACUUGUUUUCUAGGGACCGGGAGAGGUGAGGGGUACUGCCGGGGUAGGAGUGAAAUCCUGUAAUCCCGGUGGGACCACCUAUGGCGAAGGCAUCUCACCAGAACGGGUCCGACAGUGAGGGACGAAAGCUGGGGGAGCAAACCGGAUUAGAUACCCGGGUAGUCCCAGCUGUAAACUAUGUGCGUUAGGUGU
rnacentral:rRNA from 1 species